UACGUAGGUGGCUAGCGUUGUUCGGAAUUAUUGGGCGUAAAGGGCGCGUAGGCGGCCAACUAAGUCGGAUGUGAAAUCCCCAAGCUUAACUUGGGAACUGCAUCCGAUACUGGAUGGCUUGAAUCCGGGAGAGGGAUGCAGAAUUCCAGGUGUAGCGGUGAAAUGCGUAGAUAUCUGGAGGAAUACCGGUGGCGAAGGCGGCAUCCUGGACCGGCAUUGACGCUGAGGAGCGAAAGCUAGGGGAGCAAACGGG
rnacentral:rRNA from 1 species